UAAAGCUGGAGGUUGCAUAUCUCUGCGUUAUAUCAAGAAUUUAUCAGAAGAAAGAAUUAACGAUUAAGGAUUAUUUACUUCCAUUCUAAUUCAUAAAAUUCGUGCUAAUGUUAUUAAUGUCGGCCGGAUCGUAGAAGAAGGUCUGGUGAACGGAGAAAGGAAGAAAGAGAGUAUCAGGGAAAAGGACAUGCACCGGGACUGGCACAGGUGGCAUACACCGAGGUUGGCCAGGGUAUAGUGCUCAGCAGCAGCUACCUGUCGGCAAGAAGGAACGUGAUUAACAAACGUGAUCGAUCCUCGCGAUGCCCGAGAUAAUUCCGAGCGGGCAGUCUUCGCACGCACGAUCAAUAUUUAUAACGCGUGGUGGCCGGUGCUCCUGUUUCUUCGACGCGUGGAAUCUACUAUGGCUAAAGCGUGCACGAGCACGACGGUCUCGCGUGCGAACGUGAUCAUUUUCGAAGCGUUGCGGAUAGAAAUUGGCCGUGAACGACGCUCGAGAGGGAAACGCUACGAUCCAAACGUCAGACGCGACGAAUGGCAUCCCGGAAGAUGGAUCAUCGAUUUCUGGAUCACGAUCGAUUCGAUUUUAAUCAAGGAAAUGAGAUCGUAGGAUCCCCAACGACUAAAUAUGCCAUAUAUCGAUGAACGAUAUCGACAGAAAGUUUGGGACGAUAGUUAAAUGGUAGCCCAUGGAAAUGUCGCCUGGUAUUCGGUAAUAAAUUUGAGAAUGAAAGUGGACCUAGCUAGAAAGCGUUUAGAUGUAAUCAUUAAUGGACAUUUAUAGGAUAAUACUGUUCAACCUGAAUUUUAAUCUGUGAUGUCCAACGGGUAAUUCUCGUAGAGUUUACUUCCUUAAACCCGAAUUCGUAAACGAAAUUGCUCCGACAUCCUCAGUUUUAGAAAAUUGCUUGUUCGAAGAAGAAAGCAUGGAACAAAAUUGUCGAAACAAUUUUCAUUUGGAUUAAAUCGAGAAAAUAUUCGUCGGUAAUGCGUAUACGCGAUUUUACUGCCACGCAGAUAUUGCUCGCUUCUCUAAUCUCUACAGUGCCGUAGCUAUCUGUAAUCCCAGUACCAAGAAUA